AUUGAACGCUGGCGGCAUGCCUUACACAUGCAAGUCGAGCGGCAGCGCGGGGCAACCCUACGGCGGCGAGCGGCGGACGGGUGAGUAACGCAUCGGAACGUGUCCUCUUGUGGGGAGUAACCAGUCGAAAGACUGGCUAAUACCGCAUGAGCUCGUAAGAGGAAAGCAGGGGACCCGCAAGGGCCUUGCGCGAGAGGAGCGGCCGAUGCCCGAUUAGCAGUUGGUGAGGUAACGGCCCACCAAGGCGACGAUCGGUAGCUGGUCUGAGAGGACGACCAGCCACACUGGGACUGAGACACGGCCCAGACUCCUACGGGAGGCAGCAGUGGGGAAUUUUGACAAUGGGCGGCAAGCCUGAUCCAGCCAUGCCGCGUGUGUGAAG
rnacentral:rRNA from 1 species